CAGCUGGUCCACCACAGGGCCUGCUUCUGGAGAGAGUAAUCUGCAAAAUGUGCCUACACUGCCACUUUGAUUUACACCUAAGUUCAUUCCUGACCAUGUGACUGUACUCAUACUAUUUUACUCCAAGUGUCUCUGGUAUGAGCUGCCUAGCUGCUUUCAUCAGCAAAUGCUCUGCAAGCUUUAUAACCUCAGGCAGUGCCAUCCAUGCCCUGCUGAAUGCAAUGCCCACCCUCAGCAUCAUUCCACAAACAUUUUCUGAGGCUGUUACAUAACUCACCUGUUAUUUUGGGCACUCUGGAAGAAAAGCAAAGCAAAACAAAAAAUGGCAAUGUCUCAAGGCAGCAGAAUGUCAGCCUUGGCCAAGGGAAGACUUGGACCAAGUGCUUGCAGAGCAGACACAGCCACCCCACUCCAGAAUAUCUAUAACAUCCACAUUAUAUAUCACAUAUCUGGUAUAGACAUGAACCACUCUGUAUCAGCUGGCCCAAGGCUGUCUUCAUGUCCUUUCCACAAAGACAGUAUAGGCAUUGCCAAAAUUCACCAUUGCUUACCCCAGCACCAAACUCUAGCUAAAAGAAUGCAGUCAUUCUCAGGUAGCCAGAGCGGGGCUUUGGGGCAGUCAGUGUUAGGUUGAAGAACCUACCUACAGUAUGUCUGGAAGACAUACAUGACUGCAGUCAGAUUUUCCCAUGAAUUUCUAUUCUUACAACAGGACUAAAAGGUCUGCCUGUUCCCGGUCUUCAAGUCAGCAGGGAAGAAGGAUGCAUGGAAGCUGUAGUCAGAAGCAGAGUCCUCCUUAAGUGCAUGCAAAGGAGAGGGGCAUUGUGGACCACACCUGAACGUAAGCGACAGGCUGGCCAUGGUGCUGCCAUAGGUAGCACACAAGAAAAAUGCUGAUCCUUAGGAACCUGUUGAGCACAUGUCCAGUGCAAUAUGCCUCUUAAGCACAGCUCACUGCUUAGUAAUUCCUCUUUUAAAAGAAACUAUAUGCAGGGUGUCUUCCCAAGAGUCUAAGGUGACUGUCGUAUCACACCUCUACUAUUUAUUUUUGUUGAAGAAAACUCUAGCUUCAUGUUUUUGCUUGGUUAGGGCUGUAAGAAUUGGUGAAUUUCUGUGAACACUUACACAGUGGCUGUUCAAUGAGCUGUGCCUAAAAAAAGUAAUAAGGUUUAAUUAGCCCAGCCUAAUCUGACAGUUUGCUGCUGGCACACUAUCUGUUAGUACAGCUGGCUAGUGAUGCAUGUAUGCAUAUGAAAUAAAGAUCACUCCUUGCAAGUUUU